CCAUUAUCUAAAUCCCGGAAGAUAUUUUGAAGCUGUUAAACAUUCGAAGAAAAUCACGUGGCCAGGAUUCAUAAUAACAGUAAAACAUCAAUAGACAGAUGGAAUACUUUUGGGCUAACACUGACUGCAGUAAACAUGCUGUUGUGCAAGGAAUUGGUGUUAUUUUACUUCUUGUGGAUUUGGCAUUAUACUAAAGCAGGGAAUAUUAUGAAUAUAACUAGCAAUGUAAGAGAAGUUAGUAUAGGAGAUUCAUACAGUGUCACAUGUAGAACUUUAUACAAUCUAGUUGAUUUCUAUAAAAAUAAUACAAACAUAGCUAGACCAACACGUCUUUAUCCUUUUGCACCUUGUAUUGUAAACAACAUGAAUAGUUUCAACUGUACCAUAACCAGAUAUAACAACCGUACAUAUGACCAUCAGUUAAUUAUUCUAUCUGCUGAACGUACUGGUACAACUCAAUGGCAGUGUGGACAUAUCUCCAUAGCAGCCUUUUCAAACAUUCUCUCCGUAACAAUAACUGGUAAAGGGAAUGGCUAUACACCAGGAGUGACAACGAUGCCUACAACUACAGAUAAUGAUGUCGCUGAUAUGAUCACAGAUUCGGCAACCUGUCCUCCAUGUCCUCAAAUACCUCCACCAUCAAAUACCACAGUAAUAGCAUUAAUAGGAGUUGUGUUCGUCCUUUUCCUUCUGUUAAUAUUUACAUUCAUCGUAUUAUUUAUCAAAAUGCACAAAAAUAAACCAGUAGCCACCCAAAAUCAACAAAUACCAGCUGAAGGUCAUUAUGAUGAUUUAGUAAACACAGAUCCUGUUGAAUAUCAACAAUUACAAUUAUAUGAGAAUACUAAACCAUAAAUUCAUGUAUUGUAAAUAGGUAGACAUAUGUACUAUAGAUGUUUACAGGUACUAUAGAUAAGAUGAUGUACAUAGACAAACUGUUUACAUUGUAUACUUAAAGCUGCAUUAUGUAAAAGAUAAAUCUGCAUAUUCCAGGGUUUCUUUCAUGACAUACAUGACAUACAUGACAAGCCCAUGAUCAACUCUCAAUAAGUUGGGACGGCCAUGAUAUUGAAUCUAUUAAAUGGAUUAAAACACUAUCGCCAUUGAACAGUUUGAUGUAAAAAUGGAUCAUCGUAGUAAUCGUACUAGACAAUCGAGACUAUGUUGACCGAACUUUGAACACUAAUGACUUCGCCCAAAGUAUUGUAAUUUGACUGAAGUUUUCAAAAUAUUCAUUUUUCACAAUCUAUUGUGCGAACUAUUAUAGCAAGAACGUUCAGUCCUUUAUCUUAAUCUUACAUAAUGCAUCUUUAAAGGAGUAAACCACAGAUAUAUAACGGUAAAUAAAAUAUUUAAUCAAG